rnacentral:rRNA from 1 species
AGCGAACGCUGGCGGCAGGCUUAACACAUGCAAGUCGAGCGGGCAUCUUCGGAUGUCAGCGGCAGACGGGUGAGUAACACGUGGGAACGUACCCUUCGGCUCGGAACAACUCUGGGAAACUGGAGCUAAUACCGGAUACGCCCUUAUGGGGAAAGGUUUACUGCCGAAGGAUCGGCCCGCGUCUGAUUAGCUAGUUGGUGGGGUAACGGCCUACCAAGGCGACGAUCAGUAGCUGGUCUGAGAGGAUGAUCAGCCACACUGGGACUGAGACACGGCCCAGACUCCUACGGGAGGCAGCAGUGGGGAAUAUUGGACAAUGGGCGCAAGCCUGAUCCAGCCAUGCCGCGUGAGUGAUGAAGGCCUUAGGGUUGUAAAGCUCUUUUGUCCGGGACGAUAAUGACGGUACCGGAAGAAUAAGCCCCGACUAACUUCGUG